GACGAACGCUGGCGGCGUGCUUAACACAUGCAAGUCGAACGGAAAGGCCCUGCUUUUGUGGGGUGCUCGAGUGGCGAACGGGUGAGUAACACGUGAGUAACCUGCCCUUGACUUUGGGAUAACUUCAGGAAACUGGGGCUAAUACCGGAUAGGAGCUCCUGCUGCAUGGUGGGGGUUGGAAAGUUUCGGCGGUUGGGGAUGGACUCGCGGCUUAUCAGCUUGUUGGUGGGGUAGUGGCUUACCAAGGCUUUGACGGGUAGCCGGCCUGAGAGGGUGACCGGCGACAUGGGGCCUGAGAUACGGCGCAGACUCCUACGGGAGGCAGCAGUGGGGAAUAUUGCACAAUGGGCGGAAGCCUGAUGCAGCAACGCCGCGUGCGGGAUGACGGCCUUUGGGUUGUAAACCGCUGUCGCCUGUGACGAAGCGGGAGUGACGGUAAUGGGUAAAGAAGCACCGGCUAACUACGUG
rnacentral:rRNA from 1 species